UACGGGGGCAAGCGUUGUUCGGAAUUACUGGGCGUAAAGGGCUCGUAGGUGGCCAACUAAGUCAGACGUGAAUCCCUCGGCUUAACCGGGACUGCGUCUGAUACUGGAUGGCUGAGGUUGGAGAGGGAUGCGGAAUUCCAGGUGUAGCGGUGAAAUGCGUAGAUAUCUGGAGGAACACCGGUGGCGAAGGCGGCAUCCUGGACCAUUCGUGACACUGAGGAGC
rnacentral:rRNA from 1 species